GUGGGGAAUAUUGGGCAAUGGGCGCAAGCCUGACCCAGCAACGCCGCGUGAGGGAAGAAGGUUUUCGGAUUGUAAACCUCUGUCGCAGAUGACGAAGGAAGUGACGGUAAUCUGUGAGGAAGCCCCGGCUAACUACGUGCCAGCAGCCGCGGUAAUACGUAGGGGGCGAGCGUUGUCCGGAAUUACUGGGCGUAAAGGGAGCGUAGGCGGUCGAUUAAGUUGGAUGUGAAAUACCCGGGCUUAACUUGGGGGGUGCAUCCAAUACUGGUUGACUAGAGUACAGGAGAGGAAAGCGGAAUUCCUAGUGUAGCGGUGAAAUGCAUAGAUAUUAGGAGGAACAUCGGUGGCGAAGGCGGCUUUCUGGACUGACACUGACGCUGAGGCUCGAAAGCGUGGGGAGCAAACAGGAUUAGAUACCCUUGUAGUCC
rnacentral:rRNA from 1 species